CCUGAGUGCUCACUGGAAGGACAGUUCCUGAAGCUGAGGCUCCAAUACUUUGGCCACCUCAUGAGAAGAGAAGACUCCCUGGAAAAGACCCUGAUGUUGGGAAAGAUGGAGGGCACAAGGAGAAGGGGACGACAGAGGACAAGAUGGUUGGAUAGUGUUCUCAAAGCUACCAGCAUGAGUUUGACCAAACUGCGGGAGGCAGUGGAAGACAGGAGUGCCUGGCGUGCUCUGGUCCAUGGGGUCACAAAGAGUUGG